rnacentral:rRNA from 1 species
UUUAUUGGAGAGUUUGAUCCUGGCUCAGGACGAACGCUGGCGGCGUGCCUAAUACAUGCAAGUCGAGCGCGGGAAGCAAUUGGAACCCUUCGGGGGAAAGAUUGUGGAACGAGCGGCGGACGGGUGAGUAACACGUGGGCAACCUACCUUUCAGACUGGGAUAACCCCGGGAAACCGGAGCUAAUACCAGAUAGCCCCAUCGAUCGC